rnacentral:rRNA from 1 species
GUGUCAGCAGCCGCGGUAAUACGGAGGGUGCAAGCGUUAUCCGGAAUCAUUGGGUUUAAAGGGUCCGCAGGCGGAUUUAUAAUUCAGUGGUGAAAGCCUACAGCUUAACUGUAGAACUGCCAUUGAUACUGUAAGUCUUGAAUUCGGUCGAAGUGGGCGGAAUGUGUAGUGUAGCGGUGAAAUGCAUAGAUAUUACACAGAACACCGAUAGCGAAGGCAGCUCACUAGGCCUGGAUUGACGCUCAGGGACGAAAGCGUGGGGAUCAAACAGGAUUAGAAACCCUUGUAGUCC